GCUGAAGGCUGGCCUGCAAGAGAGCUGCUAAGUCCUGCACAUGCCCAUCGCAAGGCAUCGAAUUUAAGCUGUCUUUACCCUCUGAGCCAUCUAGCCAGCGGCCAAGGAAAAUUACCUAGGAAGGCAGUUCAAACGCUUCUCGGAGUGACCAUGGGCCUGUGCGCUCGCAUUGUCCGGCCUGUGCCUGCCUCUCAGUUCAUCGAGAACCAUAGUGACAGCGAUGUACUGCCGAGAACCCCUGAGCUCCUGAGUUCUCUGGCCUAGACCAUAUCUGUCUGCAGGUGAGCUCACAACACUGGCUCACCACCAGAUGCCCCGAGUAAGGGCGAAAUAGGCUGGAAGGUCCGUAGAAGCAUAGAAGACUUGGCAUUGGUUCAGCAUCUGCUCAGUGCUUUCUUGCUGCAUCCUGAGAGGGCAGAGAGCCCCUAUGGCAAGCCAGAAGUAUCCCCACAAGAGUUCUCUCUCUCUCUCCCCCUCCCUCCCUCCUGUUGCAGGAUAUUUGAUCACAUUGUAAACUCCAAGAUUGUGAACUGGAAAAAAAAAAGAAAAAAAAAAAAAAAAAGAAAACUGGUCUUGCUGUGGUGUGGCUCAGCCUUAACACAUAGGUCUAACCCACGAGCUAAAUAAAGUCAACCACAGAUCAAGAGGUGGAACAAGCAACCUGUUGAAAAGGAGUGAACUGAUCUUUUUCAACUUGACACUAGAGUCAUAUGAGAAGAGGAAACCUCAACUGAGAAUACGCUCUUAUCAGCCUGACCUGUGGACAAGCCUGUGAAGCCAUUUUCUUCAUUAAUAAUUGAUGUAGGAGGGCCCAGCUCAUUGUGACUGGCAGCAUCCCUGGGCAGAUGGUCCUGGAAGAUGUAAGAAAGCAGACUGAGAAAGCCAGUGGGAGCAAGCCAGGAAGCAACACUCCACCACAUCCUCUGCAUCAGCUCCUGUUGCAGCCACAGGUGCCCCAAGAGCUGAGGCAGGAAAAUCAAGAGUUUGAACGGCCAGCAUUUUGAGAGAAUCGCUCUCUCAAAAAAUACAGUGGAAAACAAAAGAGAACUGGGACGCAGUUCAUGCCUACAUGACUGAGGUCAUCUUCAUCUCCAGCAAUAACAAAACAAUCUUGACAGUAACUCACACCUCUUAAAAUAAUAGGAAGUGGUCAGUGAGACGGCUCAUAGGAAAACGGUACUUAGGGCAACCUGAGUUCUAAUCCCAGGAUGUACAUGAUGGAAGGAGAGAAAAGAUUCCCACAUGCUCUCCUCUGACCUCCACACAUGUGGCCUGCCAUUCAUGUCCUACACACAUGCACACAAGUAAAUGUACCAAAAAUGUUAAAACAUCAGGAGGUGUCUUCGUUAGGGUUUCUAUUUCUGUGAAGAGAUAGCAAGACCAAGGCAAGUCUUAUAAAGGAAACCGUGUCAUUGGGGGCUGGUUAGUUCAGAGGUUGUCACCGUGGAGGGAAGCUGGAGGCGUGAAGGCCGGCAUGGUACAGGAGAGGUAGUUGAGAGUUCUGCAUCAGGAUCAGCAGGCAGCAGGAAGAGAGAAUGACACUGGGCCUGGCUUGAGCUUCGGAAACCUCAAAGCCCACCCCCAGUGACACACUUCCUCUAACAAGGCCACAUCUACUCCAAUAACACCACAUCACUUUCUAUGAGCCUAUGGGGGCCAUUUUCACUCAAACCACCACAGGAGGCAUAUAAGAAGAUAUUUUUGUACUGUUGUAAUUUAAUUGGUGAACUAGUUGUCUCAAAGAUUAGACUAAAAUGAUACAUUAUUAAUUUUCUACUUAAUAAUUAAUAUUAUAUAUUUUUAUAUAUUAUAUAUUUAUAAUAUAUAUAUACAUACAUACAAUAAAGCCUGAGUAAGUCUACAAGUUUAUUUCUUUAUAAUCUUACCAGACGUCUUAAAUUCCCUCUAAAUGUCACCUUGAAUUAUCAA